GGGGGAAGCCAAACUGGCAGUCGAGCGAGCUUGCCUAGAUGAUUUUAGUGCUUGCACUAAAUGAAACUAGAUACAAGCGAGCGGCGGACGGGUGAGUAACACGUGGGUAACCUGCCCAAGAGACUGGGAUAACACCUGGAAACAGAUGCUAAUACCGGAUAACAACACUAGACGCAUGUCUAGAGUUUGAAAGAUGGUUCUGCUAUCACUCUUGGAUGGACCUGCGGUGCAUUAGCUAGUUGGUAAGGUAACGGCUUACCAAGGCAAUGAUGCAUAGCCGAGUUGAGAGACUGAUCGGCCACAUUGGGACUGAGACACGGCCCAAACUCCUACGGGAGGCAGCAGUAGGGAAUCUUCCACAAUGGACGAAAGUCUGAUGGAGCAACGCCGCGUGAGUGAAGAAGGGUUUCGGCUCGUAAAGCUCUGUUGGUAGUGAAGAAAGAUAGAGGUAGUAACUGGCCUUUAUUUGACGGUAAUUACUUAGAAAGUCACGGCUAACUACGUGCCAGCAGCCGCGGUAAUACGUAGGUGGCAAGCGUUGUCCGGAUUUAUUGGGCGUAAAGCGAGUGCAGGCGGUUCAAUAAGUCUGAUGUGAAAGCCUUCGGCUCAACCGGAGAAUUGCAUCAGAAACUGUUGAACUUGAGUGCAGAAGAGGAGAGUGGAACUCCAUGUGUAGCGGUGGAAUGCGUAGAUAUAUGGAAGAACACCAGUGGCGAAGGCGGCUCUCUGGUCUGCAACUGACGCUGAGGC
rnacentral:rRNA from 1 species